UACGUAGGGUGCGAGCGUUGUCCGGAAUUAUUGGGCGUAAAGAGCUCGUAGGCGGUCUGUCGCGUCGAUCGUGAAAACUUGGGGCUCAACCCCAAGCCUGCGGUCGAUACGGGCAGGCUCGAGUUCGGUAGGGGAGACUGGAAUUCCUGGUGUAGCGGUGAAAUGCGCAGAUAUCAGGAGGAACACCGAUGGCGAAGGCAGGUCUCUGGGCCGAUACUGACGCUGAGGAGCGAAAGCGUGGGGAGCGAACAGG
rnacentral:rRNA from 1 species